ACAUGUCGCUAACGAAGUAGAGAUACAUUAGGUGCUCGUAAGAGAAAGUGAACACAGGUGCUGCAUGGCUGUCGUCAGCUCGUGUCGUGAGAUGUUGGGUUAAGUCCCGCAACGAGCGCAACCCUUGUCUUUAGUUGCUACGCAAGAGCACUCUAAAGAGACUGCCGGUGACAAACCGGAGGAAGGUGGGGAUGACGUCAAGUCCUCAUGGCCCUUAUGGGUAGGGCUUCACACGUCAUACAAUGGUGCAUACAGAGGGUUGCCAACCCGCGAGGGGGAGCUAAUCUCAGAAAAUGCAUCGUAGUCCGGAUCGUAGUCUGCAACUCGACUACGUGAAGCUGGAAUCGCUAGUAAUCGCGGAUCAGAAUGUCGCGGUGAAUACGUUCCCGGGUCUUGUACACACCGCCCGUCAUACCAUGGGAGUGGGUUUUGCCAGAAGCCGUUAGCCUAACCGCAAGGAGGGCGACUGCCACG
rnacentral:rRNA from 1 species